ACUCCUACGGGAGGCAGCAGUAGGGAAUUUUCGCAAUGGACGCAAGUCUGACGAAGCAAUGCCGCGUGAGGGAUGAAGGUUUUCGGAUUGUAAACCUCUGUUAUAAGGGAAGAAACCUGAUAUAGGAAAUGAUAUCAGCUUGACGGUACCUUAUCAGAAAGGGACGGCUAACUACGUGCCAGCAGCCGCGGUAAUACGUAGGUCCCGAGCGUUAUCCGGAAUUAUUGGGCGUAAAGAGCAUGUAGGCGGUUUAUUAAGUCUGGUGUGAAAGCUAGUGGCUCAACCACUAAAUUGCAUUGGAUACUGGUAAACUAGAAUACUGGAGGGGCAAGUGGAAUUCCAUGUGUAGCGGUGGAAUGCGUAGAUAUAUGGAGGAACACCAAUGGCGAAGGCAGCUUGCUGGACAGUAAUUGACGCUGAGAUGCGAAAGCGUGGGUAGCAAACAGGAUUAGAUACCCUGGUAGCGAGUAG
rnacentral:rRNA from 1 species